UACGGGGGGGGCAAGCGUUGUUCGGAAUUACUGGGCGUAAAGCGCGUGUAGGCGGCAAGGCAAGUCGGAUGUGAAAGCCCACGGCUCAACCGUGGAAGUGCACCCGAAACUGCCUAGCUAGAGUCUCGGAGAGGAAGGUGGAAUGCUUGGUGUAGAGGUGAAAUUCGUAGAUAUUUGCUAGAACACCAGUGGCGAAGGCGGCCAACUGGACCAUAACUGACGCUGAGGUGCGAAAGCGUGGGGAGCAAACAGG
rnacentral:rRNA from 1 species